rnacentral:rRNA from 1 species
CUUGAGUGCAGAAGAGGAGAGUGGAACUCCAUGUGUAGCGGUGGAAUGCGUAGAUAUAUGGAAGAACACCAGUGGCGAAGGCGGCUCUCUGGUCUGCAACUGACGCUGAGGCUCGAAAGCAUGGGUAGCGAACAGGAUUAGAUACCCUGGUAGUCCAUGCCGUAAACGAUGAGUGCUAAGUGUUGGGAGGUUUCCGCCUCUCAGUGCUGCAGCUAACGCAUUAAGCACUCCGCCUGGGGAGUACGACCGCAAGGUUGAAACUCAAAGGAAUUGACGGGGGCCCGCACAAGCGGUGGAGCAUGUGGUUUAAUUCGAAGCAACGCGAAGAACCUUACCAGGUCUUGACAUCUAGUGCCAUCCUAAGAGAUUAGGAGUUCCCUUCGGGGACGCUAAGACAGGUGGUGCAUG